rnacentral:rRNA from 1 species
UCGAACGGGAAAUACUUCAUUGAGACUUCGGUGGAUUUGAUUUAUUUCUAGUGGCGGACGGGUGAGUAACGCGUGGGUAACCUGCCUUAUACAGGGGGAUAACAGUCAGAAAUGGCUGCUAAUACCGCAUAAGCGCACAGAGCUGCAUGGCUCAGUGUGAAAAACUCCGGUGGUAUAAGAUGGACCCGCGUUGGAUUAGCUGGUUGGUGGGGUAACGGCCCACCAAGGCGACGAUCCAUAGCCGGCCUGAGAGGGUGAACGGCCACAUUGGGACUGAGACACGGCCCAGACUCCUACGGGAGGCAGCAGUGGGGAAUAUUGCACAAUGGGGGAAACCCUGAUGCAGCGACGCCGCGUGAAGGAAGAAGUAUCUCGGUAUGUAAACUUCUAUCAGCAGGGAAGAUAGUGACGGUACCUGACUAAGAAGCCCCGGCUAACUACGUGCCAGCAGCCGCGGUAAUACGUAGGGGGCAAGCGUUAUCCGGAUUUACUGGGUGUAAAGGGAGCGUAGACGGUGUGGCAAGUCUGAUGUGAAAGGCAUGGGCUCAACCUGUGGACUGCAUUGGAAACUGUCAUACUUGAGUGCCGGAGGGGCAAGCGGAAUUCCUAGUGUAGCGGUGAAAUGCGUAGAUAUUAGGAGGAACACCAGUGGCGAAGGCGGC